AAAAAGCGCCUAAUCAAAACUCAAAAAUAUUAUACACAAACAUGAAGCUCUUCCCAGUAUUCACAGUGCUAGUUACGAUCUACAUCGGUGCGGCAAUAGGCAAACCAGCUCUAGAACCCGAGCCUUGUGGGGAACACGAAUUCUGGGAUGACUGCGAUCAAUUAGAAUCACGGCCGACAUGUGAAAACCCUUUAGAAAUUCCACAAGACUUUAUUACGGUCAUUUGCCCAACUAAAAGGUGCGUAUGUGAAGAGGGAUACAUUCUGGAUGCCAACCAAGUGUGCAUACCGAAGGACCAAUGUUAAUGUGAAUAAUAUGAAACUAAACUAUUAUUAAGUUGGCUGAUUUCAUCAAUUUAAAACAUCCAAGGACUUUUAUCUCGUUUUUUU